UACGAAGGGGGCUAGCGUUGCUCGGAAUCACUGGGCGUAAAGCGCACGUAGGCGGAUCUUUAAGUCAGGGGGUGAAAUCCCAAGGCUCAACCUUGGAACUGCCUUUGAUACUGGGGAUCUCGAGUCCGGAAGAGGUGAGUGGAACUGCGAGUGUAGAGGUGAAAUUCGUAGAUAUUCGCAAGAACACCAGUGGCGAAGGCGGCUCACUGGUCCGGUACUGACGCUGAGGUGCGAAAGCGUGGGGAGCAAACAGG
rnacentral:rRNA from 1 species